UCCAACACUUCGUAAGUGCUAGAAUUACAGGCGUGUACCUCCACACCUGCGUUCUGUUGCACUGGGGAGGCAACCCAGAACUCUGUGGGAGGCAAGCGCUCUGCCAGCUCAGCUCCAGCCCUGGUCUGCUCUCUUGAAGAUGAGGAGUUUGUGAUAGAAGAGGCAACUGGAAGCCAGGAAAGCCUGUGGGGUACCUCUCUCAGAGCAAGCUGCCUUGCCGAAGCCCUGGGCCCAAAGGAAGCAAUGGAAAUGACGGCAUCAAAAGCCAAGGAUGAAGAACAGCAGCAGUGUGGCCAGUGAUGAGACACCUCGGUGGGGAGCCAUGUUUGCCAAGGCCGAUGGCUCGAGUUCCAUCCCUGAGACCCAUAUGGAGGAAGGGUGAUUCACUGAAGCUGAAGUCGUCUCCUCUACAGAGCAGGGGUUUCUGCCUGGAAGAGCCUAUGAGGACUCUUCUGCCCAUCACUGUUCCUCACAGCUUCUGGACCUCUGGGCCCAGAGCCCAAACCUCUCCAUGAUUCUGCACCAUCAGAAGCCUCGCCUCCCAUCCUUGCUGCACUGCAUGACCCAGCCCUCCCCUGUUGAGGAAGCUUCCAGGGUUGGCAUCUUCCCAGACCUGGCUUUCUGGUGCUAGGUCACAAAGCCACUGCUGAUGUUCCACUUGACGGCCUCGCUGUGAUCCCUGGUUGCUGGUGUUCCAGAGACAAUGAGGAUCCAGGCGGGCCUGUCCCUCCUACGGGGACCUGGGGCAUGGGUGGGGGGAUGAGUCCCUUGGUGCAGUCACAUGCUAGGGACCUUCUCAGCAGCACUCAUGACCCAAGCAGGCAGUAGAUUGCCCUCAGAAGGGCUUGGCUUCCUUUCCUCUUUUCAAUGAAUUAAAUCAAUUAAGUCAUUUGGAAUUAC